UAACUUCGGGAAACCGGGGCUAAUACCGGAUAAUAUUUUGAACCGCAUGGUUCAAAAGUGAAAGACGGUCUUGCUGUCACUUAUAGAUGGAUCCGCGCUGCAUUAGCUAGUUGGUAAGGUAACGGCUUACCAAGGCAACGAUGCAUAGCCGACCUGAGAGGGUGAUCGGCCACACUGGAACUGAGACACGGUCCAGACUCCUACGGGAGGCAGCAGUAGGGAAUCUUCCGCAAUGGGCGAAAGCCUGACGGAGCAACGCCGCGUGAGUGAUGAAGGUCUUCGGAUCGUAAAGCUCUGUUAUUAGGGAAGAACAUAUGUGUAAGUAACUGUGCACAUCUUGACGGUACCUAAUCAGAAAGCCACGGCUAACUACGUGCCAGCAGCCGCGGUAAUACGUAGGUGGCAAGCGUUAUCCGGAAUUAUUGGGCGUAAAGCGCGCGUAGGCGGUUUUUUAAGUCUGAUGUGAAAGCCCACGGCUCAACCGUGGAGGGUCAUUGGAAACUGGAAAACUUGAGUGCAGAAGAGGAAAGUGGAAUUCCAUGUGUAGCGGUGAAAUGCGCAGAGAUAUGGAGGAACACCAGUGGCGAAGGCGACUUUCUGGUCUGUAACUGACGCUGAUGUGCGAAAGCGUGGGGAUCAAACAGGAUUAGAUACCCUGGUAGUCUACGC
rnacentral:rRNA from 1 species